rnacentral:rRNA from 1 species
UACGUAGGGUGCAAGCGUUGUCCGGAAUUAUUGGGCGUAAAGAGCUCGUAGGCGGUUUGUUGCGUCGGCUGUGAAAUCCCGAGGCUCAACCUCGGGUCUGCAGUCGAUACGAGCAAACUAGAGUGUUGCAGGGGGAGACUGGAAUUCCAUGGUAGCGGUGAAAUGCGCAGAUAUCAGGAGGAACACCGGUGGCGAAGGCGGGUCUCUGGGCAACAACUGACGCUGAGGAGCGAAAGCGUGGGGAGCCGAACAGG